AUUGAACGCUGGCGGCAGGCCUAACACAUGCAAGUCGAGCGGAUGCAGGGAGCUUGCUCCUGGAUUCAGCGGCGGACGGGUGAGUAAUGCAUCGGAAUCUGCCUGGUAGUGGGGGAUAACGUCCGGAAACGGGCGCUAAUACCGCAUACGUCCUGAGGGAGAAAGUGGGGGAUCUUCGGACCUCACGCUAUCAGAUGAGCCUAGGUCGGAUUAGCUAGUUGGUGGGGUAAAGGCCUACCAAGGCGACGAUCCGUAACUGGUCUGAGAGGAUGAUCAGUCACACUGGAACUGAGACACGGUCCAGACUCCUACGGGAGGCAGCAGUGGGGAAUAUUGGACAAUGGGCGAAAGCCUGAUCCAGCCAUGCCGCGUGUGUGAAGAAGGUCUUCGGAUUGUAAAGCACUUUUAGUAGGGAGGAAGGGCAGUAAGUUAAUACCUUGCUGUUUUGACGUUACCAACAGAAUAAGCACCGGCUAACUUCGUG
rnacentral:rRNA from 1 species